UACGUAGGGUGCGAGCGUUGUCCGGAAUUACUGGGCGUAAAGAGCUCGUAGGUGGUUUGUCGCGUUGUUCGUGAAAACCGGGGGCUUAACUCUCGGCGUGCGGGCGAUACGGGCAGACUGGAGUACUGCAGGGGAGACUGGAAUUCCUGGUGUAGCGGUGGAAUGCGCAGAUAUCAGGAGGAACACCGGUGGCGAAGGCGGUUCUCUGGGCCUUACCUGACGCUGAGGAGCGAAAGCGUGGGGAGCGAACAGG
rnacentral:rRNA from 1 species